CCACAAGUUGCAAAGGGCACAGGAGUUCUGUGGUAACUGCAAGCUCGAGCGAAGGAGCAGCGCCUGAGAAGCACCUUCUCCAGGUUCCUUCCCCACUGUGGUUUCACUUUCCGUGGCUCUGUUUGCUGCUGGCAGAGGUUCAGCUGGAACGGGAGAGGAGCAGGAAGAGCCUUUCCUCGGUAGUCUGACAGCACAUCCCCCCCCAGCGCAGAUUCCGUGCAAGGCAGAGCCUCUUCCGUGUCUGGGGAGCCACGAGCAGGGGCAGGAAAAACACUUGUCAUGGUUUAUCUGUCUAGCAAUGAACAUGUCUGGUGCUGGAAAAUUAACGUUUGUUACCUGUACUGCACCUACUGAUGGAACAGUUCCAGCCUGGAAUGGGCAAGAGGACCAUUUUUAAAACACUGUAGAAAAAAACAGUGCAUCAAGGAUGAACAAAGAUUUCAUUGCUUCUGGGUCUGUCUCAAAAUAAAGACAGAAAGGAAUAAAGAAAUGUGGUGG